CUUAAUAGUUCUGCUAACGGGAUAGGAUCCGAAGCCUCUUGAAGGUCACACAGAGCUCUUCCAACUCAACUCCUAUUCCGUAACGUCCUCAUCAUGCAGAGUGGCAGCUUGUGCCACCGUAUAUACCAACUUGGAUACAUGGAAUAGCUCCAAACCUUUGAGCUAAUGACGGUGCAUUGCAAAACAGUACCUG
rnacentral:ribozyme from 1 species